CGGGAUGUAGCGCAGGGGUAGCGCACUCGUCUGGGGGGCGAGCGGUCGCUGGUUCAAAUCCAGUCAUCCCGA
rnacentral:tRNA from 2 species